rnacentral:rRNA from 1 species
UACAGAGGUCUCAAGCGUUGCUCGGAAUCACUGGGCGUAAAGGGUGCGUAGGCGGCUUGGUAAGUUGGGUGUGAAAGCCCCCGGCUCAACUGGGGAGGGUCAUUCGAUACUGUUCGACUCGAAGGCAGGAGAGGGAAGUGGAAUUCCGGGUGUAGUGGUGAAAUGCGUAGAUAUCCGGGAGGAACACCAGUGGCGAAGGCGACUUUCUGGCCUGUUCUUGACGCUGAGGCGCGAAAGCUAGGGGAGCAAACGGGG